UUUGGAGCCGCUGUGGUUUGUUGUUUUCCUGCUCAGACGCGGCCAGUUCAAGUUGCCAUAGCACGGUGAAGCUGUGGUCGUUCUACUGCUAGCUAUCACUCCCAAUGCGAGAAACCAACGGCUCUUGUGCAACGUAUUUAUAGCCGGUAGCAUUUAUUUCCCCAGUUUCUGGACAUAUGCAUUGUUCUGCAGUUUUCACUAGCUAUAUUUUCACAAGGCUAAACUAGUUGGCUAACGUUUUAUUAGCUAGCUAGCUAACGGUAACAGUAACAGUUGCCACUUGUUGCUAGCCAGGAUGAGCAUCCCCCUCUACAAUGCCAAGCGCUGGGACUGACGGAAGAGGGCAGUUUGAAUUGUAAUGGUUUGCUGGUCAGAUAACUUUCUGUCUCCACGGGUUGCUAAGGUAACGAUGGCAUUUCCGUUAGCUAUGACAAAAAUAUCUUCUGCAAAGAAAGCUAAAAACCGGGUCAGUUUGUUCGUUAAUCUGAUUAACGUUGCAGUUAUCAGUUAGCGUCUUAUGCAGACGAAGCUAGUGCUGGUCACUAAUCGUCAGAAUUUCCCAGUCAGCCGUUUUUCGUCGUCUUCACCGUAAAGCUGCCCUGUCCCAAACUAUGGACACAUCCAGUGAGUCGGAUUCAUACGACAGGACGCGGGCGCACAGGCCUCGGGGGCGUGAAGCCCACCGCAGAUCUGUCCGGGGGAGUGGGAGUGGGAGCGGGAGUGAUGGUCGACCCGUUAACAUCUCCGAGAAGAUCAGCACACUGGCAAGCACUUUACAGGACACCAGCAGGAACUUAACCAAAGUAGACCGGAUGCUGGGCCAAUACAGGGAGCAUACAGAUGAUCAGGCUGAAGCCAUGGCACUGCUCAGGGAGAACCUGGAAGAGUCAAUCAGUCAGCUGCAGACGCAGAGGGUGAGCAGAUCCAACGGGGCUCAGAGUGCCUCUGCCUCCACCCUGCACACCAGUGACCUGGAGGCUUGCUCGGGAUCAGAUGGCCAGCGUUUCUACCCUACUUCUCCACUGAAAGACUAUACAGGCACUCCAGGAAGAAGACGGAGGUCUCAGUCUGCCAGUGUUCGCUUCAAGGAUGCCAGCUUAAAAGGAGAGGAUAUUCACGCUUUGCACCAAUCCUUGAGGGAUCUGCGCUGUGACCAGCAUAGAAUGUCUGAUGACCUGGAUAGAGAAAUCCUCAGGAGAAAUAGGUAUCUGAGGGGAGCGGCAAAGUCAGAACAUCAAAAACAGUCUGAUAUUGACACCCGGCGAGCGAUGGAGAGCCUGACAGAGCACGUGACAACUUCCCCGCGACAGGCCUCAGUGUCGUCUCGUGUGGAGCGGCGUCUGCACGAGCUGGAGAGAGAGAUGCGUGCGGACCAGAGUGGUGCGGAGAGAGCGAGAAGGCAGAGUCAGCGGGUGGCCGUGUCUGACGAGCUGCAGGAGACUUUAGAGAGACGCCAUGAGAGAGAGGAGGCUGUAACAGCCAGGCUACUGAAAGCAGACAGUGAGAAGUCCAAGAUGGAGCAGGAACUGGAGAGAGCUAGGAGACUACUGGAACAGUCUGAGGAUAGCAGAGAGUCCCUUGUUCAACAGGUGGAGGACAUGCGUGGCGAACUGCUGAGGACGAGGAAAGAGAAGACAGAUCUCCAGAGGGUCUGGCUGGAGACUUCUCAGCCCGCUACUCAGCCACAUGGCAACCACACUGACAGGGAGGAGGGAAGAGGGGGACUGCGAGGGCCAGAUCGUUUGGAUCUGGAGAAAGAAGUGGCGGCGCUGCGAGCCCAGCUGCGUACUGCUUCAGUCCUCAGUGAGGUUGAAGAACUGAAUAGAACUCUGGACCGCAAGGAGAAGGAGAGGGUCACACUCAGCAUACAGGUGGAGAAAUUGUCAUCAGACCUGGCGCGGCGGGAGCAACAGCAGCUGCAAAUGCUGGAACAGUUGAGGGAGAUUCAGAGCCGUGGGCAGACGGAGAAGAGAGAGACGGAGGCAUUACUCCAGGAGAGUGCACGGAGCAGGGAUGAACUGAAGGCCAGGGCCCAAGAGGCGGUGCGCCAGUGGAGGGCCAAGUGCAGGAGGCUGCAGAGGGAGCUGGAGGAGGAGCGAGCCCAGGCUCAGGUCCACACCGACAAGGCCUUGCAGGCAGCAAGGGAAAAGCAGAACUCUCAGGCCCAGUUGAAAGCGCUGAGCCAGCAGACUGAGGCGGCCCGCAGGGAGUUUGCUGAGAUCCUGGGCCGUCUGGCCCAGCGCGAAGAAGAGCUCCACCGCAAGGACGUGGAGUUGUCCGAGACCCGCCAGCGCCAGUUAUCACUGGAGCAGGAAAUCCGUGAGGUGAGGGAGGCCUCCGCUGCCCUGGAGGAGGAGACUCAGCGUCUAGCCGAUGUCCAGGCUAGACUCAAGGAAGAGAACCAUAGGCUGGAGGAGCGAGCGGACACCCAAGCCCGCCGCUGUCAGAGAGAUCAGGACACACAGGCCGAGCUCCAGGCCGCUCUAAAGCAGACGACCUCCGCCCAUGCUCAGCUAGUCCAGCAGUUGGCUGAGGAACAGAGCUCCAAGAAGGAGCUCCAGAAGAGCUGCGUUGAGCUCCAAGCUAAGCUAACUGCGGCGCAGGAGGAGAGGGCUGCACUGGGGCAGCAGCUGCAGCUCCAGAGGGAGGUGCAUCAGAAAGAACUGGACAACACAAAGGCCAUGAUGGAGGGCAGCGGGACAAAGAAGUACAGAGAAGUGUACGACAUGCUCAAGCUCUGCCGUCAGGAACGGGAUGACAUUCAGGCACACCUGACGGAGGUCAAGGCGGAUGCAGCGUCAGGCAGGGAGCUGUGUGGGGCGCUGCGCAUCAAGUUGGACAGGAUGAAGGAUGAGUGUGAUAAGCUGGCAGCACAGCUGAGCACAAAAGACGAGGCGCACACACUUCUCCACAAAAAGUACCAGCUACUCAAACAGGAACUGGAUGACAAAGUCAGGCUGGUUGAGCGGAGACGCGCUUCCGAGUCAGAGCUUGUUAAGCUGGAGGAGAAGGUGUUGGAGAUGGAGGCAGAGCAAGAGGCAGUCCUUACUUCCAUAGGGGAGGAACUAGAUGCAGCUUGUCGCAGCCUGGCUCGGAACGGUGAAGACAAACUACAGGCCAUCUCCCAGAAACCUGGAUUAGUGAAAGACCCCCACCGCUGGCUGGCUGAGACAAAGACCAAGAUCCGCUGGCUGUGUGAGGAAGUGCGGGAGUGCAACACAAGAGAACAGCGCCUAAGGAAGCAGCAACAGCAGACCAGGGAUCAGUUGAAGGCCCUUAGGCAGAGCCGGGACUCGGAGCAGACGGCUCUCCUGCAGCGCCUGGACCAGCAGGAGAAGCUGCUGCACUCCCUUGGCACUGAAAAGAGAGAACUGUUGGAGAGGAGUCGCAGGAAGGAGGAAGAAAUGAGCAGCUUUCAGGACCGUGUAUUGGAUUUGGAGAUGGUAAGGGUUGAUUUCUUUAAUCAGUAAUGAAAAUGUUUAUGGAAAGGGGUAUGUAUAUUCAUGUUAAAAAAACCUGGGAGGUAUUAAAUGCCCUGGAGUUGUUAAAUUAGAAGUCAUUUUGACUUUCAACAUGAUUCAAUGCAGCUGUGUAGGCAGGUUCACCUUAGGGCUAUGUUUGUUUAACAACCCAUUGCGGCUAACAUAGGGUUAGAAAUGAUUACUUUAGUCAAGGCUCAGAGCUCUGUUAAUCAUCAUAAGUCUUGCUGAUGGGGUUAAGAACCGAGCUGUACUGACAAUACAGUAUUGACCUCACCAUCUAAGCUGUUAAUAUUUAACACUAACAUCCUUAAUCAGCUAUUAGAUGUCAGUCCUGGAAUUAUGGCGCACCAACGAAUGACUAUAUUGACCCAAGCUUUUUUGUUGUUUUUUUACUCUGAAAAAUAAACAAAUGAAGCUGUCUAACGCACCCUGUCCAUCCAUCACAAUUAUGUGGCAUGCUUGGCCACUUCAGCCUUCACUUAGCUGUAAAAGAGGAAAUACCUCAGAUCAGUCAAAUCAUUUCUGCUUACCGCAACAACACAGCAGCAGGAUGCAUCGACCCAUGCUCUGCUCAGGCCGGGUGGUGGGGCUCAACCAGCGAGUCUCACAUGGAUGUCAGUGUGCCAUUCAGUAUAGCAAUCAGCAUUACGCCAUGUAAACGCCAGUUCUUUUGAUGCUUAAGUGCUCCAUCUGAAUGGGAACAGUACUGAAACAUACAGUGGAGGGAUGAAUAGAAUAGAAGAGUGUGGCUGGAGUAGUUACUUAAUAAAAGCGUCUGUAGUGAAAAAAGUCCUCAAUUACCUUUUGAAUUGACCAGGCAGUGUAAUAGCAUGUCUGUUACCAUGUAGGUUUGAAUGGGAUAUGUAUAGACCACAUUCCAGUUUUGAAAAGAGCAGGAAAGCAAGCACCAGUAUUACCCAGAGCUGUUGUUAGAGGGGUUAAUAUCCACUAGUCAGUCUCAACAGAUGUACAUUGCUGGGAUAAAUCUCUGCUAUCUAUUUUGCAAGGGCACCGUUGCUGCAUGCAAGGCUGAAUGGUUUAGAGACAAACAAGCCAGAGCGUUUUUUUUUUUCAUCUUCUCCCU